UACGAAGGGUGCGAGCGUUAAUCGGAAUUACUGGGCGUAAAGCGUGCGUAGGCGGUUACUUAAGUCAGAUGUGAAAGCCCCGGGCUCAACCUGGGAAUGGCAUUUGAUACUGGGUGGCUAGAAUGUGGUAGAGGAAGACGGAAUUCCCGGUGUAGCGGUGAAAUGCGUAGAUAUCGGGAAGAACACCAAUGGCGAAGGCAGUCUUCUGGGCCGACAUUGACGCUGAGGCACGAAAGCGUGGGGAGCAAAC
rnacentral:rRNA from 1 species